UUAAGUUCAGCGGGUAUCCCUACCUGAUCCGAGGUCAACCACAGAGUCGGGGGUUCUGGCAAGCCGCCACCGGGCCCUGGAGCGAGGGAUGUACUGCGCUCAGGGCCAGGUGGCGCCGCCACUGUCUUUAGGGCCGGCCGCGGGCGGGCGGGGCCCAACACCAAGCAGCGCUUGAGGGUUGAAAUGACGCUCGAACAGGC
rnacentral:misc_RNA from 1 species